rfam:Lachnospiraceae bacterium 28-4 genomic scaffold acPFn-supercont1.1, whole genome shotgun sequence.
UUGCUUUCCAUUAGUAAUUUCACUUAUGAAAUGGUCAAAAACCUAAAGGGAAAUUGCCAUGGAUGGCAAUUUAGGAAGCAUGGACAGGAUGUCCGUUGCUUCCGUCCCGACUGGUUUGAUUCACUUUUACCAUUUCAUUAGUGAAAUCUAAUGGAAAGCUC